CCUACGGGUGGCUGCAGUGGGGAAUAUUGCGCAAUGGGCGAAAGCCUGACGCAGCGACGCCGCGUGAGGGAUGAAGGUCUUCGGAUCGCAAACCUCUGUCAGCAGGGAAGAACGGUCACUGUGCUAAUCAGCAGUGAAUUGACGGUACCUGCAAAGGAAGCACCGGCUAACUCCGUGCCAGCAGCCGCGGUAAUACGGAGGGUGCGAGCGUUAAUCGGAAUUACUGGGCGUAAAGGGCUCGUAGGCGGUAUGUCAAGUCAAGGGUGAAAUCCCCGCGCUCAACGUGGGAACUGCCUUUGAAACUGGCAAACUGGAGUGUGUGAGAGGAUAGUGGAAUGCCAGGUGUAGGAGUGAAAUGCGUAGAUAUCUGGAGGAACAUCAGUGGCGAAGGCGACUAUCUGGCACAUAACUGACGCUGAGGAGCGAAAGCGUGGGUAGCAAACAGGAUUAGAUACCCUUGUAGUC
rnacentral:rRNA from 1 species